rnacentral:rRNA from 1 species
AGAGUUUGAUCCUGGCUCAGAAUCAACGCUGGCGGCGUGCCUAACACAUGCAAGUCGAACGAGAAAGGGGAGCAAUCCCUGAGUAAAGUGGCGCACGGGUGAGUAACACGUGACUAACCUACCCUGGAGUGGGGGAUAACUGAGGGAAACCUUAGCUAAUACCGCAUAAUACCCACGGGUCAAAGGAGCAAUUCGCUCCAGGAGGGGGUCGCGGCCGAUUAGCUAGUUGGCGGGGUAACGGCCCACCAAGACGAUGAUCGGUAUCCGGCCUGAGAGGGCGCACGGACACACUGGAACUGAAACACGGUCCAGACUCCUACGGGAGGCAGCAGUGGGGAAUUUUGCGCAAUGGGGGAAACCCUGACGCAGCAACGCCGCGUGGAGGAUGAAGUCCUUCGGGACGUAAACUCCUUUCGAUCGGGACGAUUAUGACGGUACCGGAAGAAGAAGCCCCGGCUAACUUCGUGCCAGCAGCCGCGGUAAUACGAGGGGGGCGAGCGUUGUUCGGAAUUAUUGGGCGUAAAGGGUGCGUAGGCGGUUUGGUAAGUCUUGUGUGAAAUCUACAGGCUCAACUUGUAGUCUGCACGAGAAACUGCCGGGCUUGAGUGUGGGAGAGGUGAGUGGAAUUUCCGGUGUAGCGGUGAAAUGCGUAGAUAUCGGAAGGAACACCUGUGGCGAAAGCGGCUCACUGGACCACAACUGACGCUGAUGCACGAAAGCUAGGGGAGCAAACAGGAUUAGAUACCCUGGUAGUCCUAGCCCUAAACGAUGACUGCUUGGUGUGACGGGUACCCAAUCCCGCCGUGCCGUAGCUAACGCGUUAAGCAGUCCGCCUGGGGAGUACGGUCGCAAGGCUGAAACUCAAAGGAAUUGACGGGGGCCCGCACAAGCGGUGGAGCAUGUGGUUUAAUUCGACGCAACGCGAAGAACCUUACCUGGGCUCGAAA